GAGAAGAAAUGUAACAAAAAACUGAUAAACGUUGCAAUCAAAAUCCGAUCACAGAAGACGAAAAUGAGUAUACUAAAGCUUCUAAUAAGGAAUUUUUUUGAAAUUAUUCUUCCUUCAUACGUUUUAGUCCGCAUGCUUUGUAACAAAACUGAAUGCAAUUGCUAAUGAUCACUUUUUGUGUUCCUAAGACCAAUUGAUUUGAAGCUGAGCAUAUUCUUUCGUAAACGAGUAUUGUAAUAAUAUUAUUAUCGCCCCAAUUAAUAAAUUAUUUACAAAAUGGAAAGGUAAAUAUUAGAUGUCCAAUUGACAACUUUAAGCUAUCAACGAUAAAACUUUCAGAAAAUUGAUCUUUUUGAAUCUUUGUAUUAAUAAUUUCAUUCAUCGUUUUAAAAAAAUGGGACUCUCUGUCUUGACUGACCCAAUUUUGAUAUUCGUCUUCAUUUGUCAACGAUGAAGCAAAGGAUAUGUGAAGUAAAAAGUCCUGGAAGGCGUUAAAAUUGUCGCUUAUUUGAACCUUUACUUACCUCUCUCAAAUUCCUAUUUGUAAACUCUUUCAUACAGUCACUAGCAUGACUUAUUAAGUCUUUGUAGUUUUCGUCACUGAAUUUACAUUCGAAAGCUAGGAACAUUCUUGUUUUUUCGUCAUUAAAUAGUAGACACAUCUUUCCCAGUCGAAAUUUUAAAGUUCUUUUUUAAUAUGUCAGUCUCAACAGUAUGGAUUAUUUGUCCUGAGUAUACCUGUAAUUCAAAUUGUUUGUAUAUUGUUCCCAUUUGUGCACUAAUUGGUUCUUAGUGGAAUAAUUUAUGCGGUAGUUUUCAGAUAUGCUUAAAUGUAAUCUUCUUGGUACAUUAUGCUCAGAGCAAAGAAGCGAUUGAAACCGACUUUGUGAAUUCAAAAACUCACGAAUGCCUUUUUUAACUUUCUUGCUCAAAUCCACUAUUGAUAAUUGUCAACUUUUUGUUAAAUAAAAAUUGAUUUAUUACCCUCCAAAUAUGUUUGAACAAACCACAAUCCUUCAAUAUGCUUUUGUCCACGAAUUCGACCCUCAUGAAACUCAGGACUAUCAAAAGUUUUUGGCUUUUCUAAGAAUAUGAGUUAUCAAAACAUUAAAACCUUCUUACUCUUAUAAAGUUCGUGAAAUGAUUCUUGGAGCUUAGGGACUUUUAACAUUCGGGGAUUAUCAGAUAUUGUCUCGUCAUCGUCUUCUCCGGAGCUCGAACUCUCAUAACAUACUAAAGACAUUUAUUCUUCUA